rnacentral:rRNA from 1 species
GGAAUAUUGGACAAUGGGCGCAAGCCUGAUCCAGCCAUGCCGCGUGAGUGAUGAAGGCCUUAGGGUUGUAAAGCUCUUUCAGUGGGGAAGAUAAUGACGGUACCCACAGAAGAAGCCCCGGCUAACUUCGUGCCAGCAGCCGCGGUAAUACGAAGGGGGCUAGCGUUGUUCGGAUUUACUGGGCGUAAAGCGCACGUAGGCGGAUUGGUCAGUUAGGGGUGAAAUCCUGGAGCUCAACUCCAGAACUGCCUUUAAUACUGCCAGUCUAGAGUCCGGAAGAGGUAAGUGGAACUCCUAGUGUAGAGGUGGAAUUCGUAGAUAUUAGGAAGAACACCAGUGGCGAAGGCGGCUUACUGGUCCGGUACUGACGCUGAGGUGCGAAAGCGUGGGGAGCAAACAGGAUUAGAUACCCCUG